rnacentral:misc_RNA from 1 species
GAUGAAGAACGCAGCGAAAUGCGAUAAGUAAUGUGAAUUGCAGAAUUCAGUGAAUCAUCGAAUCUUUGAACGCACAUUGCGCCCGCCAGUAUUCUGGCGGGCAUGCCUGUUCGAGCAUCAUUUCAACCAUCAAGCCCCCGGCUUGUGUUGGGGACCUGCGGCUGCCGCAGGCCCUGAAAACCAGUGGCGGGCUCGCUGUCACACCGAGCGUAGUAGAUUUUCAUCUCGCUCAGGGCGUGCUGCGGGUUCCGGCCGUAAAAAGCCUUAUUUACCCAAGGUUGACCUCGGAUCAGGUAGGAAGACCCGCUGAACUUAAGCAUAUCAAUAAGCGGAGGA